UCCGCCGCUUCGGUCUUCCUUCUGCUUCCUCUACAAUUGCCGAAAUUGCUUGCCGUCUCUAGCUCCUCACCCUUAAUCUGCUCCGUCUCUAGCUGAUCCAUAGCAAUCAGCAAAAAGGAAGCAUGAAGUUUCUGUUUUUCUACUCACCGCACCGCUUCUAAGUUCUAAGCCAAAAUAAACUCUGGAGUCUGGAAUCAAUCACGGACAGUGAUCUAUGGAGCAACUCAAUUCCUUUUGUUUCGAUUCUCAGCUGCUACCCAUCAAUUCAUCAACAGCUUUAGGGACAAAAUUUAUGAUCGAGUAUUGUACAACAUUACCAGCACUGAAAGUGAACCUGUCGAGGUGAAACAUUUUCCCAUUCUAUUGCACUCCUGAAAGGCCUCAAUCUUAUACCAGGCAACCCAAAAUCCAACUUUCUUAUCUCGAGAGAUUCGACCCGCCUAAACCGAAGUUCUAAUUUCGGGUGGGUUGAAGGCUACAUCAGCAUUCAGCAAGAAACAUUUCUCAGAAUAUUCUCCCCCUUUUGCUCUCAUAAAUCGGGUGGGGUUUGUCGUCAUAACUGAAGAAUCUGUAGAUCUUAGGCAGCGAGGGAGUGCGCCAAAGGGGUAGAACUUGCUGUUAUGAACCAUGCUCAUGUUGGGUACUCUUAAUUCUUUGGCACGCUGGAAACCUUUUAUUUACAGGAAGAGAAGCUGCAACGAGUCGUCUGCAAGUUUUUUUGUGCAAUUUUUUUGUGAACUGGGAAUUCCAGUACUCUUUAGUCUCUCAAUCUCGGUACACUUUGAAGUUUGAAACAAGAAAAAGGAGAGUCAUAUGAAUAUAUAAUUGUCCUCAUUCUAUAAUAUUUCAAUUAUUAUCUACUGAUGAAGACUUGAGAAAUCGUAUCAAAGCUCGCA